rnacentral:rRNA from 1 species
UACAGAGACUGCAAGCGUUAUUCGGAUUCACUGGGCGUAAAGGGCGCGUAGGCGGCGCGGUAUGUCACCUGUGAAAUCUCCUGGCUCAACUGGGAGCUUGCAGGCGAAACUGCCGUGCUGGAGUGUGGGAGAGGUGCGUGGAAUUCCUGGUGUAGCGGUGAAAUGCGUAGAUAUCAGGAGGAACACCUGUGGCGAAAGCGGCGCACUGGACCACAACUGACGCUGAGGCGCGAAAGCUAGGGGAGCAAACAGG